GUGAAUCAUCGAAUUUUUGAACGCAAAUUGCGCUUCCUGGCAUCCCGGGAGUAUGCCUGUUUGGGGGUCAGUAUUAAUAUAAAAUCGGUUUAGUUACAAAUUGUGACGUUUCAGGGGUUUGGGCUAUCUUAACAUUUUUGGUUAAGAGGCUUAAAAUUGACCUUAUUUGUGGAUUUUUUAACGUGUAUAAAUUUUUUUUAUUCUUCUAUUAUUAAUGCCAAAAUAUUAUUAGAUGAGAUC
rnacentral:misc_RNA from 1 species